UACGAAGGUCCCAAGCGUUAUCCGGAUUUAUUGGGUUUAAAGCGUGCGCAGGCGGUUUUGUAAGCCAGAUGUGAAAUCCCCGGGCUUAACCUGGGAAUGGCAUUUGGGACUGCAAGGCUUGAGUUUGGCAGAGGAGACUGGAAUUCCUGGUGUAGCAGUGAAAUGCGUAGAUAUCAGGAGGAAUACCGAUGGCGAAGGCAGGUCUCUGGGCUAGAACUGACGCUCAUGCACGAAAGCGUGGGGAGCAAACAGG
rnacentral:rRNA from 1 species